rnacentral:lncRNA from 1 species
GUUCAGGUAUCUCUCCGAGUAAGGCUUCGAGUGUCAGAGCCAUCACCAACUGUUAUGGGUUGACUACCUAUACAAAGGCUUUAUUAGAUCUCAACCUGUGGAAGUAAUCUAAUACAAACGACACUUGUAUGGAAUUUUCAGGACAUGUUUCUAAGAUCACAGAGGAUACGAUACUCUCUAGGUUUGAGGACUAGCUCCAGUUACGCUUUUGGGUCCAGUGAAUGUAUGAUACCCAUUAUGUGGUCCAAAAAGAAUGAGAUUUGACGGACGCUCUAGUGGCCAAAUUCAUAUGGCUACCUUCACUCUAUGCCUUAAGAGCUGAAAAGUUUCCGUGGUUUCGAAUACUUUGCUUCUUUCAGAUUAACGAAAACCCUAUUUAGUUGCAAAGACUGAGAAGAGAAUAAGAGUCGAGGGACCAUAUAAAGCUUGUAAUUGUACGUUUAUGCGGAUUCUCCACUUUCCAUGGCUGUGAGAAACUAUCUGAGGAAAAGUGCAGUGACCUUUGGCAAAAGAUCACUGAAUAAAUUUUCUGGUGGUCUGAGAACUCGCUGCAGUGAAUGAAUGAGAUCCAUGGAUGUGCGAAAUUGUCUUUGGGGCGGCAUAAGUGGAAUCAUUUAUCUUCUACGUGAUAAAGUGAUGUGGAAAGUGUCACCAAGAAAGGAAUCAUUAACUUUGAACUUAGGCAAGGAAUUUCAAACCAGAAGUAAUUUACAAGCAUGCAGUCUAGUUUUGCCAUAGCAGCAUCAGAAUGAUGGAACAAUUCCAUAUCCGGUGUCAAAUGUUAUCAUUGUGGAGAAAGCUUGGUUUGCCUCUUCAUCGACAUCUUUCUUCUUUGCAAACCGGCCCUUGAUCCGACUCUAGCUUCUCUGUCCCUUGGACUGAGCAUCUGAGCUGGAGGGUAAGGUGGUUGGUCUGUUACCGCUUUGGGCGAUCUUGGGUUUGAUACUGUUGCGUCACUCGUUGUUGACUCCGGCACAACUCCCAGGUCCAUAGAUGAAACAUUCACCUAAUGACAGUAACAAAGACAUUCUUAGAAAUUUACUUCAUGGAUUUGUGUGAAAGAAGCAGCAUGCUGGUCAUAGUAACGGAUCUGAAUUAAAUAUAUGAAAGCUUACCAUAUGACUGAGGGAACCAUUGGAGCUUCGAAGAGCUCCCCAGGAGCCACAGUUGAUACUCAGCUGAAAGUUCUGUUGCUCUUGGUACAUGCCCUUUGAUACUUCAAUUUGAAGUGGAACAACUCCAUCUUCCCCAUAGCUCCUCUGAGGUACGUUGCAGUCUAGUUGAUACUGAUUGGAUUGAUCUGUGAAUUGCUUAUCACUCGAACUAUAAUCAACAAGGUUCAGAAACUCAUCCCCAAUCGAGAAGCCAUUGUUGUUACCACUGUUUUUCCCUGAAUUAGGCAACAACCAUGAAGCCGCCUCUGCUUCAUCUUCAUCCUCUUCUUCUUGACCAAGCACAAGUCUGUUCUCUGGAUCUGUCACUGUUGUCUCACAUGAAUGGUUAGUGGCCGUGGAACUGUAAGAGUACUCAGAAAUGGGCAGAAUUGGAACUCGUUGAUGGCGUCUAGCAAGUGGGUUUGCGGAAUGAAUCUCUGAAUCACAGGUUGUGCAUAGAGAUGCAGCAUCUGCCUUGCAGAAAAAGGCAGCCGGGGCUCGCUCACAUGAUUGACAGACUCGAACACGUUCAUGGCGGGAAGCAAGACGAUUGGCAGCAUGAACUUGAGCAUCACAACUGGAGCACAAGUAGGCAGAAUCAGCCCGGCAGUACACGGUGCAGGCGGCUGAUCGGCAUGUAUCACAGGCUUGUGCCCAGUUACUCUCUACUUUCAACAUACUAACCGCAGAUGUUGUAGUUGUUUGAUGGUGAGUGAGAUCGUAUGUAAAGGCAGCAGGGGACUAAGAAGGCUAUAUUAGUUGUUGAAUGGAAAUGGAAAGGAAGGAUAGAAUUCUGAGGGCUGGACACGUGGCGAGAAGUUUGUGGGUUUGAUGUUGAGUGAUCAUCUUGUGGCUGGCUGAGUUUUUGAGAAGGGGUCCAGUGCAGAGAUGCUUACAGCUUUGGAAUCAUCAACCAGCACGAAAUGUGAAAGAAAGAAAAAAACUAAUUGUCUUCUUAUAUCUUUGCAAUGGCACCAAUAGUUACUACUUUUUCUCUCUUUCUUCCUCAAUAAGUGUAAACACCUCUUCCUAUGUAAUCUUCUAUAGGACCCAUCCACAUGUUACCUAGGUUCUGAAACGUGCAACUUCUAACU